CAGCAGCCGCGGUAAUACGUAGGAGGCGAGCGUUGUCCGGAAUCAUUGGGCGUAAAGGGAGCGCAGGCGGGCAUGUAAGUCUUUCUUAAAAGUUCGGGGCUCAACCCCGUGAUGGGAAGGAAACUACAUGUCUUGAGUACAGGAGAGGAAAGCGGAAUUCCCAGUGGAGCGGUGAAAUGCGUUGAGAUCGAAAAGAACACCAACAGCGAAAGCACUCUGCUGGGACGACACUGACACUAAGAGACGAAAGCUAGGGGAGCAAAUGGGAUUAGAUACCCCAGUAGUCCCUGUCUCUUAUACA
rnacentral:rRNA from 1 species